CCUACGGGUGGCAGCAGUAGGGAAUAUUGGUCAAUGGACGCAAGUCUGAACCAGCAAUGCCGCGUGCGUGAAGACGGCUCUAUGAGUUGUAAACUGCUUUUGUACGGAGGUAAACGCAGGUACGCGUAUCUGUAUGAAAUUAUCGUACGAAUAAGGAUCGGCUAACUCCGUGCCAGCAGCCGCGGUAAUACGGAGGAUUCAAGCGUUAUCCGGAUUUAUUGGGUUUAAAGGGUGCGUAGGCGGUCGGAUAAGUUAGAGGUGAAAUCCCGAGGCUCAACCUCGGAAUUGCCUCUGAUACUGUGCGGCUAGAGAGCAGUUGCGGUAGGCGGAAU
rnacentral:rRNA from 1 species